rnacentral:rRNA from 1 species
GACGAACGCUGGCGGCGUGCCUAAUACAUGCAAGUCGAACGCAGUGGUGACGGGGGAGUAACACGUGGGUAACCUCCCAUCAGAGGGGAUAACACUUGGAAACAGGUGCUAAACCGAUACUGAUGGAUGUACCCGUGGUUCAUUAGCUAGUUGGUGAGGUAACGGCUCACAAAGGCAACGAUGCAUAGCCGACCUGAGAGUGGGAUCGGCCAUACUGGGACUGAGACACGGCCCAGACCCCUACGGGAGGCAGCAGUAGGGAAUCUUCGGCAAUGGACGAAAGUCUGACCGAGCAACGCAGCGUGAGUGAAGAAGGUUGUCGGAUCGUAAAACUCUGUUGUUAGAGAAGCGGUAUCUAACCAGAAAGCCACGGCUCACUACGUGCCAGCCGCCGCGGUAAUAC